GACGAACGCUGGCGGCGUGCUUAACACAUGCAAGUCGAGCGAAUGGAUUAAGAGCUUGCUCUUAUGAAGUUAGCGGCGGACGGGUGAGUAACACGUGGGUAACCUGCCCAUAAGACUGGGAUAACUCCGGGAAACCGGGGCUAAUACCGGAUAACAUUUUGAACCGCAUGGUUCGAAAUUGAAAGGCGGCUUCGGCUGUCACUUAUGGAUGGACCCGCGUCGCAUUAGCUAGUUGGUGAGGUAACGGCUCACCAAGGCAGCGAUGCGUAGCCGACCUGAGAGGGUGAUCGGCCACACUGGGACUGAGACACGGCCCAGACUCCUACGGGAGGCAGCAGUAGGGGAUCUUCCGCAAUGGACGAAAGUCUGACGGAGCAACGCCGCGUGAGUGAUGAAGGCUUUCGGGUCGUAAAACUCUGUUGUUAGGGAAGAACAAGUGCUAGUUGAAUAAGCUGGCACCUUGACGGUACCUAACCAGAAAGCCACGGCUAACUACGUGCCAGCCGCCGCGGUAA
rnacentral:rRNA from 1 species